rnacentral:rRNA from 1 species
AACGAACGCUGGCGGCAUGCCUAACACAUGCAAGUCGAACGAGACCUUCGGGUCUAGUGGCGCACGGGUGCGUAACGCGUGGGAAUCUGCCCUUGGGUUCGGAAUAACAGUUAGAAAUGACUGCUAAUACCGGAUAAUGUCUUCGGACCAAAGAUUUAUCGCCCAGGGAUGAGCCCGCGUAGGAUUAGCUAGUUGGUGAGGUAAAGGCUCACCAAGGCGACGAUCCUUAGCUGGUCUGAGAGGAUGAUCAGCCACACUGGGACUGAGACACAGCCCAGACUCCUACGGGAGGCAGCAGUGGGGAAUAUUGGACAAUGGGCGAAAGCCUGAUCCAGCAAUGCCGCGUGAGUGAUGAAGGCCUUAGGGUUGUAAAGCUCUUUUACCCGGGAUGAUAAUGACAGUACCGGGAGAAUAAGCCCCGGCUAACUCCGUGCCAGCAGCCGCGGUAAU